AAUAAGAUGCCUGAAUAAAGGGUUAUCAUGAUAGGAUAAAUUAUGUAAAUUAAUACUCUUAUUA
rnacentral:tRNA from 1 species